GACGAACGCUGGCGGCGUGCUUAACACAUGCAAGUCGAGCGGAAAGGCCCUGCUUUUGUGGGGUGCUCGAGUGGCGAACGGGUGAGAAACACGUGAGUAACCUGCCCUUUACUUUGGGAUAAAUUCAGGAAACUGGGGCGAAUACCGGAUAUGAGCUCCUGCUGCAUGGGGGGGAUUGGAAAAUGUCGGCGGUUGGGGAUGGACUCGCGGCUUAUCAGCUUGUUGGUGGGGUAGUGGCUUACCAAGGCUUUGACGGGUAGCCGGCCUGAGAGGGUGACCGGCCACAUUGGGACUGAGAUACGGCCCAGACUCCUACGGGAGGCAGCAGUGGGGAAUAUUGCACAAUGGGCGGAAGCCUGAUGCAGCAACGUCGCGUGCGGGAUGACGGCUUUCGGGUUGUAAACCGCUUUAGCCUGUGACGAAGCGUGAGUGACGGUAAUGGGUAAAGAAGCACCGGCUAACUACGUG
rnacentral:rRNA from 1 species